CAGACAGUACAUUAACACUGAGGUGUGGGACAGACAGUAAAUUAACACUGAGGUGUGGGACAGACAGUAACAGGCAGUAAAUUAACACUGAGGUGUGGGACAGACAGUAACAGACAGUAAAUUAACACUGAGGUGUGGGACAGACAGUAACAGACAGUAAAUUAACACUGAGGUGUGGGACAGACAGUAACAGACAGUACAUUAACACUGAGGUGUGGGACAGACAGUAAC